GACACGUCCCCCGGGCGCCACUGCAGAGCCUGUCCGUCAGUCCCUAGGUAUCCGCACUGCUCAGGGGUGAGUUUUCCAAUCCCAGCGGGUCCUGGGGUGGGGGCGGUAGCUGAGCACCUAGGGCACUGGGGGUCGCCGCAAAGUGCUGGAGGCCCCAGACCAUACCCGGCGUCAGGGGGUGUCCCUCCCUUCUUAGGUCUAGGUCUUUGGUUUCAUUUCGUUUUGUUAGUCUGGUGCUAUUUGCAGUUUGUCUCAAAACACGUUUCUCCCUCCUAUUUGAACUUGUAAAUUACGAAUUUGACAAAGAUGUGCAUGGUGUGUGCGUGCACGAGGGCACAUUUCGUUGCGGAAUGCUGGGUCAGCUUUCCGGGACAUAUUACUCAUCUGAGGUUUUUUGUCUGUUUUUGUUUAUCCUGUCAAACUGGUACUGCCCCAGAAGUGAAAGACGUCGCUUGUCUUCUGGGAGGUAGCUAGCACGAUCUUGAGCUCAGGCUUCCGGAUCUCUCUCGGCUGCUUUUUUCCACUGGUAACUUCUGAGGCUGAGAUCAGGUACCCGCAUUCUCAAUGCUCUGCCGAGUAUUGGCUCUCUUUUGUGAAUUUCUUUCCCGCGAGCAGUAUUAAGAAAAAGGUGGCGGAUAGGAAGGGAAGAGGGGAAGAGAUGGAAUUCUACAGGAAAUGCAGGGCAUGCUCAGAAUGCCAACCUUUCCGAGCUUGGAGAGAUUUAGUGGAAGAAAGUAGCAGGAAAAACGUCCAGUAAUCACUGGCAUGCCAGACCCUGGAGAAGCCAGGCUGAGGCGCUCUGCAAGUUUCACCUUAGAGAGAGUGGACGAAAUGUAACGGUUCUUGUUAGAGUUCUUGUAGAGGACGAUUGUGGAUGAGAAUACAUCCUGGGGACUAAAACCAUAUUGGUUUAGUCUGGAAUGAUUGCCAACUAAAGGGACUGAUGUUUGAGAGAGAUGGUGAGAGAUUAACCAAAUGAGGUGGUUGACUGCAUAUAGAAGCAGGAGGGAGAGAGGAAGGAGGCACUUGUGGCUCAAGGGCUUGGUGUGUGUUUUAGUUUAGAUUCUGCCCUAAAGCAAAGCCUUAUGCAAGGGCUUACCUGCAGGUAAUUUUUUGGGGGUAAGUGAGACCAAAAAGCCCAAAUGAGGAAGUGGAGAGAAUGAGACAAGGAAAAAA
rnacentral:lncRNA from 1 species